GUUCCAAGGAGACGGCGGCUACCUGGAAGAACCUGUUUUUUUUUAGGACAACCAUGUAAAGUGAUUGGCCAAGACUACUUCACAUUACCAAUCACAUGGGCCAUGGCUUUUCAAUCUGACGGUCAAUCUUGCUCUGCCGGAAAGUUGCCCUUACCAAUUGGAGUGGAAACAAAUUUUAUAUUCAAAACUUAAAGCAAUGCCCAUAUGAAUAGAAAAAUUAUAGGGGACCAAGAGAGAGCCCCCUGUACGAACAAGAUUCGUUGCCAAAACAAGUUGCGCAGGUGAACCGGAGAAAACAAGAAUAGUAUCAAGAAUCUCAAUUGGAAGAAAUGAGACAAACCGAGGCGGGAAAAGGAAGAAACAAAAAACAGA